UUCACAACGGCUCUUUCAGAAACAUAUUCCUGUAACUGCUGAGAGAAAGCUGCUCCUGGGAUUUUCUUGCGUGUGGGGUGACCGGCCAGCCGGCUCUGCCAUUGGCCCGUCGUCUUCCCCGUCCAAGUAUGGAGAGCAGAGGUGGAGUGAGGGGAAGCGUUGUGACGACAAUGUCUCCAGCGUGUCAUCGAUGGCAUGUGACAGAGAUGAGAUGAUUAUGGCUUAAUCUAUGAAUUGAUAUUCUAUUGAAUGGUGUUCUAGUCUGCAAAAUAAAAU
ensembl:lncRNA